rnacentral:rRNA from 1 species
GACGAACGCUGGCGGCGUGCUUAACACAUGCAAGUCGAACGGAAAGGCCCUGCUUUUGUGGGGUGCUCGAGUGGCAAACGGGUGAGUAACACGUGAGUAACCUGCCCUUGACUUUGGGAUAACUUCAGGAAACUGGGGCUAAUACCGGAUAGGAGCUCCUGCUGCAUGGUGGGGGUUGGAAAGUUUCGGCGGUUGGGGAUGGACUCGCGGCUUAUCAGCUUGUUGGUGGGGUAGUGGCUUACCAAGGCUUUGACGGCUAGCCGGCCUGAGAGGGUGACCGGCCACAUUGGGACUGAGAUACGGCCCAGACUCCUACGGGAGGCAGCAGUGGGGAAUAUUGCACAAUGGGCGGAAGCCUGAUGCAGCAACGCCGCGUGCGGGAUGACGGCCUUCGGGUUGUAAACCGCUUUCGCCUGUGACGAAGCGUGAGUGACGGUAAUGGGUAAAGAAGCACCGGCUAACUACGUG